rnacentral:sRNA from 2 species
AAAGUCCAGGGGUUUAUUCUCGGUGAUGAAAACGCGGUUUGCUAGCAGCGAAAAAGCAUCUGCCCCCCCCUUUCCUCAGACUAUCUUUCAUUUUGUUUCAAUGGUUUGGUCAUGAGAUCUACUAGUAUUUCGAAAAUGUCUACAUUUCUGUGCCCCUCAUACACACAAUCCCGUCACUCAUUUCAUCCAUGUAAUUUUGUCACGAGCGAUAGAUAGAUCUCCCAAUAGAUAAGGGCUGAAACGGGCCUAAGAUCAAAAGUUUACUUUUGUAUAGGGGAAAAGUUUUAAUUUACUUCCAUAUAACACUUUUGAGAUUCGUUUAUCUUGGCUAAUCACACACAAGUGCGGGAAAGGAUAAUAUAUUUUGGUUUGUUGAAAAGUCAACAUUUGGAUUCCACCAGCAUAGAUACAGAAUAUGAAGGAAGCUUUGUGAAAUAACCGCUGGCGAAUUCAAUUUGCUAGCGGCAGUUGAAGAAGCUGAAGUGGCAAAGGAUGCAACGAGCAGGAUGACUGAUGACCAGAAAUUCCAAACUACAACUUCAUUCGCAGGUAACACCUUCCGCG